GUCGGUUAAGCAUCCAACUUUGGUUCAGGUCAUGAUCUCACAGUUUGUGGGUUCAAGACCCACAUGGGGCUCUGUGCUGACAGCUCAGAGCCUGGAGCCUGCUUCAGAUUCUGUGUCUCCCUCUCUCUGUGCCCUCCCCUGCUCACUCUCUCUCUCUCUCUCUCUCAAAUAUAAAUAUUUUAAAAAUAUAUAAUAUAAUAUAAUAUAAUAUAUAAUAUAAUAUAAUAUGAUAUAUAUAAUUUUUAAUUCUUUCUUUAAUGAAGGAAAGUGCCCAUGGUGGAAAAAAGGGAGCAGGGCCCACGAAAGUCCUAGCAUGGCCCUGGGUGUCCUGAGCAGAGCAGCAGAAUUAGCCAAGCUUUGUGCUGCCCAGGAGGGUGUCCUCCCCUCAGACUCUUUCCCAGAGAUAAGCAAGCUCUUCAUGGAGGAAGGCAAACCGCCACAUGGAGGCUAGGACGCUCUGUAACUUCCCCAGCCUCUAAUUAGCUGUACCCUCUCCCCUCACUCCUGGACCCCAAGUAAGGGACACGCAGCACGAUCCCAUUGUUUCUUCUCUCAAGUAAGGUAAACCCCAGUGUGACUUCCUCCCCUGACUCUCAAGUAAAGAAAGCUGGUCAAUGACUUCAACUCCUUUUCCCUCAAAAGUCAAGCUCAAGCAUGACCUCCCCUCAAAUCCAGCAGGAGCAGGCAUGAUGUCACUCCCACCCUCAUGCCUCUCUCCCACCCGCCUGGCGGAUGACACAUUUCCACCCCGACUGCUUCUCAGAAGUGGCUCUGCCCGAAGGUGUGGGUGUCUGGCUGGCCGCUGCUUCCUGCCAGCCGCGGGGCAAGCCCACCAGGCUGGAAGGCAGCUUGCAGUCUGUGACAUCACUGUGACUCAGCACUCUGUGGCAGAUGAGAAUUUAUUCAAGGCUCAACAUUAAAUAAGGAGUUUUCAGGCAAGUCUGGAGGACAAGCUGAGCCAACUUAGGAUGAGAAACUAAAAAGCAAAAGGGGAAAUCCAGGGCUGAGAAAUUCCUAGAAACGAAAUCAUAACCUUGGACAGGAGGAGAAGGUGACUUGAGCUACUAAGCAGGGAUGACCAGACCUGCAGCGGCUCAUGGGCCUGCAAGCACACAGGAACCCGACCACCUGUCUGUGUCCCCUGUGUGCCUUCUGACCUCCUCUGCAGGCUCUGGUACCUCCAUCUAUGAGGGACAGCGGCAAGCUCCCAACAGACAUGGCAGUCCAGGUAUCUGAUUCAGAGCACUCAUGAAUCUUGGACUACAUUCAGCUAUAAUCAUGGGUGAUUCUCCAUGCGAAGGGGCUAAACACUGGCAAACGAAAAGCAGAUUUGUCCACUGCAUUCCUAUCCUAAUGGAUGCUGAGAUAAUGGAUGCUCUACAAUCACCCACAAAUUUCCUGGUACUGCUGCUGUUACUGCAAAAUGAUGGCUCCUUCAAAGUAUCAUCUCUUGCCCCUGCCAGAGAAAGCCAGCCUUUAAAAGAAACUAAAUCCAAGGUCACUCACUUCCACAUAAAGAGAAUAUUUUGUCAGCUGCCAAAAUUCAUUUAUCUAAUGUACUCUUACCCAAUAACUUAAGCCUGGUGUGCUGGGCAGAGUCCAACUUGGGUAAUUCCAUUCUCCCAACCAAAUUCCCCCAAGGAGUUUGAACGAGAGAGGACAUUAUUCUUCACUUCUUCAAUUCUCCUAUUAUUAAUCAAAAGAAUGCUUUUCAUCCCCAAAGCAUGAUGGGGAUAUGAGGAUAGAAUUUUUAAAAUGGGAUUAUUCUUAAGAAUUUAGUAAUGAGAGAUUCCAUUAUAUAAACUUAGUAAAGUUCUUUGGAAGUAGAGUCUAGAUCCAUUUGUGAAACAAAUAGUUAUUAAAGUAUAUGCCAAGUACUGUUCUCAACACUGCAGAUGGAGCAGAACACAGAAGUAGUUUCUGCUUUCAAGAGGUAGCAAUUAGAAUAAGUUGAUGAGUUUGGAGAGAGGGCCAGAAAUCAGACCAUUUAAGUACUGAUAUGGAGUUUGGAUAUUAUUGUAGGCGCAGCUGGAGAGUAUUGGUGGAACGAUAUGAUUGAUCAGAUUUUGAGGUCUUUUUAAUAAGACCAUUCCUUCAUGGAUAUCUAUGGGCCAAGGUCCUAGCCUUCUGCUACUUUCCACGGAAUUGAAUCAUUUCAGGACCAACACAACUGUGGCUGUAAUUUCCUCCCCACAAGCCUUCAAACAGCAUUGAAUCUUGGUUAGCUCAGAGCGCCAAGGAGGCCAAAGCCAUGGUUUGGCCAUACGGCCAUCAGCAUGGCACUGCUCCAUGACAAACCGUACCCCUUCUUCCUCUGUAGCUGGCUGUACUUCAUAGGCUCCCUUUGGUCUCAUAGGACACCAGACAAGAAGGUAAAUGAGGAAGAAUUAGUUCAUCUCCACUGCUCCAAGAGCUGCCUAUGACCUGCUGAAGGUAGUUCGGUGGCAAGAUCAAAGAGCAGAAGCAUCUCUACAUGUAUGUGACCUAUUGAAUGAUGGUGUUCUUGGAAAGAGCAUUACCACUGACAAAGAACCACUGAAAACUUUCUAUUUAUUGCCCAUCCUGUGAGCAGUGACAAAUAUAAAUAAGAAAAUCAUAACAUCUGAAAAUAAAAGGGGACAUUAGUGGUCAUGAAGUCCAACCUCUCUCCUAAUGUAAGAUUCUUCUAUGCAGACCUGACAAGGAGUCUUCCAGUGUUCUAUACCCUUCCUAUAUCAGAUGGGGUCAGAUGAAUAGCAAUUUAAUUGCGUGUUGUUUUGUUGGUGAGGAAAGAUCAUUAACUGUGGUACCUUUUGCCCAAAGUUGUGGUCUGAAGGGUCAAAGGACACAUAGAGAAAGUUACAUCUGAAUGAGAAGUUAAGGUUAAGACCUGGAAAAAGAGGACCAAAUAAGUUUUCCAGUCUCAAGUGCAAGAGGGAGAAUAAAGAAUAUGGAACCAAACAAGAAGAUAACCAGGAUGCUGAUGAAUGAGAAAUGUGGAGCAGGUGGAUUAGAGAAACUUUCUGAAUGGUAUCUUAAGAGUUUUGAGACCAUAUCAGAAGCAGCCAAGAGGUCCUUUGUCAAAAAUUUUGGACUCUCUGAUGAGAAUCUACUCCCUUUCUACUAUUCCUCAAUGAAUUCUCCCACUUAGUGUUAUGCGUUGAAUUAUGUCCCCCAAAAAAGAUAUGUUGAAGCCCUAAUCCCCAGUACCUCAGGAUGUAACCUUUUUCAGAAAUAGGGUAUUUAUAGAGGUAAUCAAGUUAAAAGGAGAUCAUAAUCCAAUAAUAAUGAUAUCUUCAUCUCCAAUAAAGAGGAGAAAUUUAGACACAGAAAUAGACACCCCAUGGGAAUAAUGCCAUAUGAACAUGAAAGCAGAGAUGGGGUGAUGCAUCUGCAAACCAAUGAACACCAAAGAUUGGGAGCAAACUCCCAGAAGCUAAGAGAGAGGCAUGGAACAAAUUCUUCCUCCCAGACUUCAGAGGGAACCUAUCCUGCUGACAUCUUGACCUUGGACCUCUAGACUCUGAAACUCUGCUGUGGUUGGGAAGAAGAAGAGAUCUUCAGGCUCAAGAGGCAGAAAGGGCAUGAUGGUUUCAAGAGCAAGAAGCUGGAGGGGUGGGUAAGAAGUGAAGGUUUUCCAGCCCCAUCCUGUCCCAUAGGAGAAUCUUCCCUAGAAGAGAGCCCUCAGGCCCUGGGUAUGCUCUCACAUAGUUCCUGGAGGGAACUACUGAGGGACAUGGAACCCAAUGACCACAUCAGUUGCCAUUUGCAUGUAGAAGGAACCAUCCCAAUGUAACAUGGCAGAAGACAUAAGAGGGUGGCAAGAGGGGAGCCUGAGGACAAGGCAACAUGACUAAGUGCGAACACAGCAUGAAGCCGCGCUCCUCUGAGCAGCUGGUAAGAGGGCUCUCACCUCAUCUCUGGGAAGAGACGGAGGCCAGCCUGACAAAGAGAACGAGAAAACUGCCAGGGGAAGGUGAGGUAGGUAGCUGUCCACCCAUCAGAAAGUAAAGUGAUGUUUAGUAAGACCAAGGCCAGACCGAAGAGCCACUGGCCAGGAUGGAAUAGCACACAGAUCUGUGUCUGAGGGCAGGAAUGACCCGUCUCCCGCUCCAGGCUCCAGAGGCGACCUUUGCUGUCCAAGGACGCUGCCGAGUGGCUUUGCAGACCCCUGCACAACCCAGGUCUCUGAGUUUCCCAGUGUUUGCUCCUUGGUGCCUGUUGUAUCUCUGCUUGGUCAGAAUUGAUGGGAGCUAAUCACUGCUGAAGCAGAGACUCCAGUUCAUUUCCAUUCACCUCAUUGUCUUUUGGGCUGCAGCCAAGCAACAAACAUGAACAUUCCCCCCUGCAGAGCAGACACACACAGACGCUUGGAAGCCUGCCCACAUGUGCCACGCUCUCCCAGGCAUGCACACGUUUACACAUACACGUAUACACCCGCACACGUGCACACGCAUACUCACCCAUCCACACUCUCACGCGUGCACGUAUAUGCAUCCACACGUACACUCACCCGUGCACAGGUACCGCCCAUAUGCAUCCCCACACUCACGCACAUGGGCACACACAUCCGCUCCAGCUGCGGUUCAACUGUGCAAGUUCUCUGUCUUCCGCGACCAGGAUAUCUUCAAACCUGAGAUUUCCUACUCCUGCCCUCCUGUUACCCUGGCGGCCAGGGCACCCACACCAGCACUCCGUAACUUAUCACCACCUCUUAGGCCACUUCCAGCCAUCGUCAGUGCGUGGGAGACCUUCCAACCUUCUGUCUCAAUGAAAAUCAACCGUUGUAAACCCAGGCUCUCAUGAAGCUCCAGGGACCAGCAGGACUUGGAUUUUAAACAGUCCCACUGUCUUCCCUGCGUAGGAAUCAGUCUGGGCUCCAGACGAGAUGGGGCAGCCCUCUAGUGGCCAUGGCCGAAAUGACAAUAGACUUUGAGGGCUCAAGGAUGCUGUAGGCACCAGUCUGCUCUUCUUGAAGGCACAGGAAAGAAACCACAGUUAUACAAUCUUUAUUGACUAACUCCUCCACUCCAUUGCCCCUAGAUCCUUCUAGUCACCAGGUCCUAUCAAUCUUCCCUUCCCAACAGCCAUCCCCAUUGUCCCACCUUAGCUCUCCCUUAUCUGCAUAGUUGGGCUGCAGUGGUCCAUUGCCUGAACCUGUGUCCAGUCCAUUUUGGACCUUGCUGCCAAAUUCAUUGACACUCAUUGUUGGGUCUUCUACGUUCUCUUUUUAAGACUUCCAGGCUUCCCCCAUCAUCUAUAGUGGUGAC